rnacentral:rRNA from 1 species
AGAUUGAACGCUGGCGGCAGGCCUAACACAUGCAAGUCGAGCGGCAGCACGGGUACUUGUACCUGGUGGCGAGCGGCGGACGGGUGAGUAAUGCCUAGGAAUCUGCCUGGUAGUGGGGGAUAACGUUCGGAAACGGACGCUAAUACCGCAUACGUCCUACGGGAGAAAGCGGGGGACCUUCGGGCCUCGCGCCAUUAGAUGAGCCUAGGUCGGAUUAGCUAGUUGGUGAGGUAAUGGCUCACCAAGGCGACGAUCCGUAACUGGUCUGAGAGGAUGAUCAGCCACACUGGGACUGAGACACGGCCCAGACUCCUACGGGAGCAGCAGUGGGGAAUAUUGGACAAUGGGCGAAAGCCUGAUCCAGCAAUGCGCGUGAGUGAUGAAGCCUUAGGUU